GUAGGGGGCAAGCGUUAUCCGGAUUUAUUGGGUUUAAAGGGUGCGUAGGCGGGAUGCCAAGUCAGCGGUAAAAAUGCGGUGCUCAACGCCGUCGAGCCGUUGAAACUGGCGUUCUUGAGUGGGCGAGAAGUAUGCGGAAUGCGUGGUGUAGCGGUGAAAUGCAUAGAUAUCACGCAGAACUCCGAUUGCGAAGGCAGCAUACCGGCGCCCUACUGACGCUGAGGUUCGAAAGCGUGGGUAGCAAA
rnacentral:rRNA from 1 species